rnacentral:rRNA from 1 species
CUACGGGAUGCACCAGUGAGGAAUAUUGCACAAUGGAGGAAACUCUGAUGCAGCAACGCCGCGUGGAGGAUGACGCAUUUCGGUGUGUAAACUCCUUUUAUAUGUCAAGAAAAUGACGGUAGCAUAUGAAUAAGCUCCGGCUAACUCCGUGCCAGCAGCCGCGGUAAUACGGAGGGAGCAAGCGUUACUCGGAAUCACUGGGCGUAAAGGACGCGUAGGCGGGAUAGAAAGUCAGGUGUGAAAUCCUAUGGCUCAACCAUAGAACUGCACUUGAAACUUCUAACCUAGAGUAUGGGAGGGGAAGAUGGAAUUAGUGGUGUAGGGGUAAAAUCCGUAGAUAUCACUAGGAAUACCAAAAGCGAAGGCGAUCUUCUGGAACAAUACUGACGCUAAGGCGUGAAAGCGUGGGGAGCAAACAGGAUUAGAUACCCUGGUAGUC